UACGAAGGGGGCUAGCGUUGCUCAGAAUCACUGGGCGUAAAGGGCGCGUAGGCGGCCCUGUGUGUCGGGUGUGAAAGCCCACCUCUUAAAGGUGGAAUUGCAUUCGAAACUACAGGGCUGGAGUGUCGGAGAGGAUGGCGGAAUUCCUGGUGUAGAGGUGAAAUUCGUAGAUAUCAGGAGGAACACCGGUGGCGAAGGCGGCCAUCUGGACGACAA
rnacentral:rRNA from 1 species